ACCUCGGUAGUGUAAUGGACCAGCACGGCACACUCAAUAUCUGUAUGUGCGGGUUCGAGUCCCGCCUAAGUUU
rnacentral:tRNA from 1 species